rnacentral:rRNA from 1 species
AUGACUGCUAUAUUCUCUGACUUUUGUGAAAAGAUAGUUGAGGUUUUCAUGGAUGAUUUCUCCCUGUAUGGAACUUCUUUUGAUGAUUGCUUAAGCAACCUUGAUCGAGUUUUGCAGAGAUGCGAAGAAACUAAUCUUGUCUUGAAUUGGGAGAAGUGCCACUUUAUGGUUAAUGAAGGUAUUGUCUUGGGGCAUAAAAUUUCUGAAAGAGGUAUUGAAGUUGAUAAAGCUAAAGUUGAUGCUAUUGAAAAGAUGUCGUGUCCUAAGGACAUUAAAGGUAUAAGAAGUUUCCUUGGUGAUACGUCUCCGUCGUAUCUACUUUUCCAAACAUUUUUGCCCUUGUUUUGGACUCUAACUUGCAUGAUUUGA